rnacentral:rRNA from 1 species
GAUGAACGCUGGCGGCGUGCUUAACACAUGCAAGUCGAACGAUGAAGCCCAGCUUGCUGGGUGGAUUAGUGGCGAACGGGUGAGUAACACGUGAGUAACCUGCCCUUAACUCUGGGAUAAGCCUGGGAAACUGGGUCUAAUACCGGAUAGGAGCGUCCACCGCAUGGUGGGUGUUGGAAAGAUUUAUCGGUUUUGGAUGGACUCGCGGCCUAUCAGCUUGUUGGUGAGGUAAUGGCUCACCAAGGCGACGACGGGUAGCCGGCCUGAGAGGGUGACCGGCCACAUUGGGACUGAGAAACGGCCCAGACUCCUACGGGAGGCAGCAGUGGGGAAUAUUGCACAAGGGGCGAAAGCCUGAUGCAGCGACGCCGCGUGAGGGAUGACGGCCUUCGGGUUGUAAACGUCUUUCGGUAGGGAAGAAGCGAAAGUGACGGUACCUGCAGAAGAAGCACCGGCUAACUACGUG